rnacentral:tRNA from 8 species
GGGCCGUUAGCUCAGUUGGUAGAGCAGUUGGCUUUUAACCAAUUGGUCGCUGGUUCGAGCCCAGCACGGCCCACCA